GUCAAAUUAACAAACAGAAACCUCAUUAAAUUGGAGUCAGGAGGCCAAGAGGGGGAGCUCUCAGGCCCUACAUGGACAGCAGAGCCCAGCAGGAAGAAGAAAGACUUCCUCUUGUUGACUGGCUGGAAGCUCGGCCAAUGAGAGGCUGUCACAACGCAGCGAGUGAAAAGCCCCGCCCCUCUGGACUCUGUUUGCAACAGCCUUUCCGACUGCGGCUUUGCUGUAGGAAGGAGCUUCUGCUCCCUUGCUGCUGGGGGACUUGCACGUGGCUUGCCAAGGAAGAUUGGCCCUGAGCUUACAUCUGUUCCCAUCUUCCUCUACUUUAUAUGUGGGAUGCCUGCCACAGCAUGGUUUGAUAAGCAGUGUGUAGUUCCACAACCAAGAUCCAGGAUGGUGAACCUUGGGCCGCCAAUGCAAAGCACACAAACUUAACAGCUACGCGCCACCAGGCCAGCCCCUUUUUACUGAACCAGGUUCGUGUUUGCCCCCCUCCACUCCUCCCCCCGAGAAAGCCAAACAGUGAGAUGACAACAUCACAGCAGAGAGAGGGUUUACUUCCAAGGCAGCCAAGUGAGGAAGUGGGAGCAUGAGCCCCAAAUUUGCUUCCCCAAAAAAAGGGACUCAGUGAUAUUUAUGGGAUGGGGCAAGGUGGUCUGAAAUGUGGAGAGAGGUGAUUGGAGGUGAGGAGAGGUGAGGUAAUCCAUGAUCUGCGCAAGCAUAGUCAGACUCCAUGCCUCUUCAUAGGACCCAUGUUCACAAAAUGGUGGUGUUAGCAUGAUCAGAGGGUGGAGUUUUUAGCUUCUUGAUGUCAAAAGGUCGCCUAUCAGAUAUCUGUGUGGGCCCAGUUGAGGGGUUGGUGGCCUCAACUGGCCUGAAGUGGACAAGGAGUUCUAAUUCCUGAAAAACAGCUCACACACCCAUUACCAUGGUGACCCAGGCUCCAGGGAGAUGUUAUCUGUAGGAGCCUGGGGGGAGUCAGGUAGCAGAUUGCCUAAGCAGCACAGUUAACAAUGGGUGGGCUACACAGCUAAAACCUGUAAUCAGUAACUGCAAAAAGGAAAAAACUUGAGUACCUAGAUGCUUAAUCAUCAAUGGCUGUUUGCCGGUUUCACCCUCAAACAAUAUUUCUAGUCAAAGGCAAUCCUUAGGAAAUAGACUACUUUUCUAUGACGCCCUCCUGAUUUUAUCACAGUAUAAAAAUGAUGUUAGCAUAAUGUUCUAGUCUAUGCAAAAUUUGCUUUAUUUUCUCACAGAAAGGAUAAUCAAUCUGAACUCUAUAUAUUUCCUAUACUGUUUUUAUUCAUUUUAAACUAACAUUGUUUUCAUAAAUGUUUGAGAAUGUGAAAAUGUAAACAUUUGUGUUCAACCAAAUUGAAUUAUAUAAUCAAAAUCUUCAUGAAAAGAAUUGAUUUUGGACUUCAGACAUGCUGCAAAUUAUGUGAAUCUGCAGAGGUACUCUAAUCAAAGUAUGGAAAUUCUAAAAAUAAUUUUUUAUGAUAAUUUUAAUAUCAAUAGUGAUUGCAG
rnacentral:lncRNA from 1 species